rnacentral:rRNA from 1 species
UUAGUGGCGAACGGGUGAGUAAUACGUGAGCAAUGUGCCCUUGACUCUGGGAUAAGCGCUGGAAACGGCGUCUAAUACCGGAUACGACCCUCGGAGGCAUCUCCUGUGGGUGGAAAGAACUUCGGUCAAGGAUCAGCUCACGGCCUAUCAGCUUGUUGGUGAGGUAAUGGCUCACCAAGGCGACGACGGGUAGCCGGCCUGAGAGGGUGACCGGCCACACUGGGACUGAGACACGGCCCAGACUCCUACGGGAGGCAGCAGUGGGGAAUAUUGCACAAUGGGCGCAAGCCUGAUGCAGCAACGCCGCGUGAGGGACGACGGCCUUCGGGUUGUAAACCUCUUUUAGCAGGGAAGAAGCGAAAGUGACGGUACCUGCAGAAAAAGCACCGGCUAACUACGUGCCAGCAGCCGCGGUAAUACGUAGGGUGCAAGCGUUGUCCGGAAUUAUUGGGCGUAAAGAGCUCGUAGGCGGUUUGUCACGUCUGCUGUGAAAACCCGAGGCUCAACCUCGGGCUUGCAGUGGGUACGGGCAGACUAGAGUGCGGUAGGGGAGAUUGGAAUUCCUGGUGUAGCGGUGGAAUGCGCAGAUAUCAGGAGGAACACCGAUGGCGAAGGCAGAUCUCUGGGCCGUAACUGACGCUGAGGAGCGAAAGCAUGGGGAGCAAACAGGCUUAGAUACCCUGGUAGUCCAUGCCGUAAACGUUGGGAACUAGAUGUGGGGACCAUUCCACGGUCUCCGUGUCGUAGCUA